CCUACGGGAGGCAGCAGUGAGGAAUAUUGGUCAAUGGACGAGAGUCUGAACCAGCCAAGUAGCGUGAAGGAUGACUGCCCUAUGGGUUGUAAACUUCUUUUAUAUGGGAAUAAAAUGUUCCACGUGUGGGAUUUUGUAUGUACCAUAUGAAUAAGGAUCGGCUAACUCCGUGCCAGCAGCCGCGGUAAUACGGAGGAUCCGAGCGUUAUCCGGAUUUAUUGGGUUUAAAGGGAGCGUAGGUGGAUUGUUAAGUCAGUUGUGAAAGUUUGCGGCUCAACCGUAAGAUUGCAGUUGAAACUGGCAGUCUGGAGUACAGUAGAGGUGGGCGGAAUUCGUGGUGUAGCGGUGAAAUGCUUAGAUAUCACGAAGAACUCCGAUUGCGAAGGCAGCUCACUGGACUGCAACUGACACUGAGGCUCGAAAGUGUGGGUAUCAAACAGGAUUAGAUACCCCUGUAGUC
rnacentral:rRNA from 1 species